AUUGCCCUAGUAACGGCGAGUGAAGCGGCAACAGCUCAAAUUUGAAAUCUGGCCCUUGGGUCCGAGUUGUAAUUUGUAGAGGAUGCUUUUGGUUAGGUACCUUCCGAGUUCCUUGGAACAGGACGCCUUAGAGGGUGAGAGCCCCGUACGGUUGGAUACCGAGCCUCUGUAAAGCUCCUUCGACGAGUCGAGUAGUUUGGGAAUGCUGCUCUAAAUGGGAGGUAAAUUUCUUCUAAAGCUAAAUACCGGCCAGAGACCGAUAGCGCACAAGUAGAGUGAUCGAAAGAUGAAAAGCACUUUGAAAAGAGGGUUAAAUAGUACGUGAAAUUGUUGAAAGGGAAGGGCUUGUGACCAGACCUUUGCCUUGCGGAUCAUCCGGUGUUCUCACCGGUGCACUCCGCUUGGUUGAGGCCAGCAUCAGUUUCGGCGGCGGGAUAAAGACUUCAGGAACGUGACUCCCCCGGGAGUGUUAUAGCCUGCUGUGUAAUACCGCCGCUGGGACUGAGGACCGCGCUUCGGCUAGGAUGCUGGCAUAAUGGUCAUCAGCCACCCGUCUUGAAACACGGACCAAGGAGUCGAACAUUUAUGCGAGUUUUUGGGUGUUAAACCCUCAAGCGUAAUGAAAGUGAACGGAGGUGAGAGCCCUUACGGGUGCAUCAUCGACCGAUCCUGAUGUCUUCGGAUGGAUUUGAGUAAGAGCAUAACUGUUCGGACCCGAAAGAUGGUGAACUAUGCGUGGAUAGGGUGAAGCCAGAGGAAACUCUGGUGGAGGCUCGCAGCGGUUCUGACGUGCAAAUCGAUCGUCAAAUCUGCGCAU
rnacentral:rRNA from 1 species